rnacentral:rRNA from 1 species
UGGCGAACGGGUGAGUAACGCGUGAGUAACCUGCCUCGUACAGGGGGAUAACAGUUGGAAACGGCUGCUAAUACCGCAUAAGCGCACAGUACCGCAUGGUACGGUGUGAAAAACUCCGGUGGUAUGAGAUGGACCCGCGUCUGAUUAGCUGGUUGGUGAGGUAACGGCCCACCAAGGCGACGAUCAGUAGCCGGCCUGAGAGGGUGAACGGCCACAUUGGGACUGAGACACGGCCCAA